UACGGAGGGUGCGAGCGUUGUCCGGGAUCACUGGGCGUAAAGGGCGCGUAGGCGGCCUGAUAAGUAGGGGGUGAAAUCCUGCGGCUUAACCGCAGGGCUGCCUUCUAAACUGUCGGGCUAGAGCACGGUAGAGGCAGAUGGAAUUCCCGGCGUAGCGGUGGAAUGCGUAGAGAUCGGGAAGAACAUCAGUGGCGAAGGCGGUCUGCUGGGCCGUUGCUGACGCUGAGGCGCGACAGCGUGGGGAGCAAACAGG
rnacentral:rRNA from 1 species